rnacentral:rRNA from 1 species
UACGUAGGGGGCAAGCGUUGUCCGGAUUUAUUGGGCGUAAAGAGCGUGUAGGCGGUUGGAUAAGUCAGCUGUGAAAACCACGGGCUUAACUCGUGGCCUGCAGUUGAGACUGUCUGGCUUGAGUGUGGGAGAGGAGAGUGGAAUUCCUGGUGUAGCGGUGAAAUGCGUAGAUAUCUGGAAGAACACCAGUGGCGAAGGCGGUCAACUGGCCCGAAACUGACGCUGAGGCACGAAAGCGUGGGUAGCGAACAGG